CAUGUCUCAAAGAAAGGUGGAAUUGCAAGGAGCUCCAGUUGUAUUCCUGCAAUUAUGAAGGAUAUGCACGAAUAUUAAUUCUAAUUAAUUAAGAUGAUUAAUUAAUUAAGUAUAUAUCGAAGAAAUGCAUAUCUUUAUUUAAUUAUGCUUUUUAAUUAUGAUUCCAUAUAUGCAUGUAACCCUUUACUAUUAAUGAUUAGUUUUAAAAGGCAAUGAUCGAUACUUUAAUAUGUUCUUAAUUAGUACGUAGAUUGUUCUCAAUAACAAAGAGUAUGUAUGUAUUUGGAAGUACAUUCCUAAAGUUUACUAUAUAUAUGUCCUUUGAUGUAUUUUAGUUAUUUAACUAAUUUACUAACAAAAUAAAAUAAAAUAAAUAUAUUUGGUUAAUUAAUUAUUUGAAGUUUUUUGAUCGGCUAAAUAAAAUUUAUUAAAAACCAAAGCUGACAUCCAAAAAAUUAAUUUAAUGAGGCCAGAAUUACAAACAACAUAUAUAACUUUGAGAAAAUAAUUAACCUUGUGGCCAAAUAUUCAUCCCACAUCAACUUAUUAGCAGUAGAUAGAAAUUAAAACAAUACUACUACUUAUCUUAGGUGAAACUGAACUGAGUUUAAAAUCCAUGAAAUGAUGAUACAACAAUUAAUGACCAUUUAAUGAAUACAAAAUAAAUAUUGCAGCCAAGGUACGUAAAUUAAUUAGCAUCUGGCAUGCAUGGGAACAACAACCAUUUAUAUAUCAUGCCUAAUUUCAUUUUGGCAGAUAAGGUCAUUGAUCGACACCACCGUGUAUAGUUGUUUUAGUGAGAACGUGAUUAACAAUGAAUAUAAUCAAUUUGAACCCGAUAGUAGCAGUAUUAUGUUCUGGUUAAUUUGAUUAGAAGGUUUUGUGUUACAACAUUUUGAAUAAGAUGCAGAUCAUGAGUUGUUGGGAUUGUUUGUCUAUAUAUAUAUAUAUAUAUAUAUAUAUAUAUAUAUAUGGGAAUUAAUACAUGACAACCGAUUGUCAUGGACACUAUUUGAGCAACUAAACUGUUAACCGUUGAUCAGUAUAAUAAUUAGUCCAAAUUUACUAGAGGAAAGACCAUGCCGCUACAGGCCGUAGCGGUAGUCACUAUCUCUCAAUAAAUAAUUUUAAAUUACAUAAUUGCCCCUCCUUCAAAUCAAUUAAAAUCAAUUUUCAUUACUCAUUACUCCAACAACAUUUGUCAAAAUUACAAGAUAAUCAAAGAAUGAUUUAAGCUUCUUAUGUUUUUUUACAACUGUUACAAGUGUCAAUUGAAGCUGAUGAGCGAAACAAUGAACAUAAAAAACAGACUUAUUCUCUGACAAAAUCGAACUCUUGAGACCAUUAAAUUCCCUUCGCAUGUUACUAGCUAGCUCCAUCAUAUCCUUGCUCACAUAUACGUGCCAUGCUCUCAAUCCAUGUGUUGCAAAAAGUGACUCAAUAGCCUCUUUUAAGUGUUUGAGCGCAUGUAUUGGCAACAUGAACAAUGUCAAGAAAACACUCAAUAACACACUCAUAUUUGUUCACAUAACGUAAAGAAACGACCAUUUAUUAUUUAAUUGAUGAAUCACGAGCCUCGUCAACUAACAAAGAGAAAAAAUUAUCCCAAAUCUCUGCAACUAUAGCUUUUGUGGUCAAAAAUGCAACGACACUACAAAUGUCUUUUUGGAUUGAAGGUGCUGUCAAUUUGUGGUUCCCUAAAGCAUUUUUCAACACAACUUUAUUCACUUCAUCAUUGUUUUCGAAUAAAAAAUUUAAAAUCAAAAGAAAUAGACAUCGCCUUUUAGAAAUAUCUGAUUCAUCAUGACCGCGGAAAGACAACCCCUCACUUAAAAGCAACCGAACACACUUAAUAGAUGAGUGCAAACGAAGCUUAUAAUCUUUUUUUUCUUGGUCUGAUAUAUUGUCAAGUUUGAUAUCUAUGUGUUGUUUUUCGUUCCUCAAAUCUUGACAAACUAACAUGCAUUGUCUAUGAAUACUAUUAGGAGACUCUCCAACAUGUUCAGAUAAGUAUUUCGUCUUCCUCCGAUUCUUAAAUCCCUUACCGGCAUAUGUAUUCUCACCCCCUUGACUACCAAUAUCAACUUUGAAUAGAUAACAAUAUAAGCAAAAUAUUGCAUCCUUUUUUUUAUUAUAUUCCAACCAACUGACAUAUUUUUUGUACCAUUUGGGAUUAAAUCUACAUUUCUCUCCGUAAAUAAUUGUUUAUUUUGAGAGAAUUUGGAAACAUUGGUUGAUAAGGACCCUUAAUCAAAUAUCCCCGACGAAUACUAUCUCUCUUGUUAGCAUCAUAUGCUAUUAUAGAUAGUCAUAGUCCCGGAUCCGCAAUAAGUUCCUCGAGCUUCUAAAUUGAAUUCAACUUGAGAUUGAGAAUUGAUAUUAAUUUUGAGAUUCUUGGAUAGGGGUAAAAUUUGAGAGAUUUUGAGAAGUCUUAUUAGCUAACAUAGAUUGUGAUGUUAAUGAUUCACUUUUGAAACGUUUGAAUUUUGACCACGUGUCAUAAAUGCCUAAAUCAAUCAAAAUACAAGUACACAACAAACUCAAACAAAAUAAUUAUUUUAUGCAACAUAAAUAAAAUUCUAUAAUAUACAACAAAUAAGUAUUCAUAUAUAAAUCAUAACCCAAAAUAAAAAAAGAAAUUUCAAAAUAAAAAAACAUUUAGAUAGAAUUUAAAAACUUACUUGGAUCACUUGUCAUAGUUCAAUUUGAAUGUUUGCUCAAACAAUUACAAUUUCAACCGUAUGUACAAAAUCUCAAACCAAAUUUGCUUUCUAUAUUCAAAUAAAAUCGAGCUACAACAGUCAAAAUCAACUCACAAUUCACAAAAACAACAUAUUCAUUUAAGUUUUAACCCCAACCCACAACAAAUUCAAAUAAAUAUAAACUUUAAACUAUCAAACAAAAAAAAAGACCUAAUUAGUUCAUCACAUCUUGAAAUAACUUGUCAAAACUCAUCAUGGAGAUUUAGAGACUCAAAAAGCAAUACCUCAUUAUCAUUCGUGCUCUUUGCAAUUCUCUAAACUACAAGGAGAGGAUGUUUGCACUUCUCCAACAUGCUCAUUGUCAGAUCUUCCUGCAAUUACACAUGAAUUUGUAUUAAUUGCCAUUAUAUUAUUUAUAAUCCAUGAACAUAUAUGUUAACUUAAUUGAAAAUUAAUAAAGAAUAGACUUUCAGGACAAGAACCAGAAACAAACGAACUCACAACAAAUUAAAGUGCAUAACAACAUAUUCAUUUAAGUUUUAACCCCAACCCACAACCCACAACAAAUUUAAAUAAAUAUAAACUUUAAAUUAUCAAACAAAAAAAACCUUAAUUAGCUAUAUUAAGUCCAAUACAAAAAAUACAUCAAAUAAAUUGAAUUGGGUUUAACCUCAAGUCCCCAACGGCCAACCAACAACAAAUUCAAACAAACUAUAAAUUUUAAAUUAUCAAAUAAAAAAAAUCUUAAUUUUGUUACCUUUUAAAUCUCAUAUGCGCAAAGGGCAAGGGGUAGAGACUGCAAUAGAAUGAGAAGAAAAGACUAGAUCGUGACAGAGAAGAGAAGUCGCUGACUCGCGGUGGUCGCAAUGCUUGGGCAAGCAAUGAAGCAAAAUUGCAGAAGAAGAGAUUUUUUAAUUUCAACUUUUCGAGUCUUUGAGCUCUCGUCCCUCUGUAACUCUAUAUAAGCCGUAAACAUACUUUAAAAAAUUAGAUUAUAAUUGAAUUUUUUCUUUUGUCAUCAUCAAGUUUAACUUUUUUAUAACCCUUGAGUUUAUUAACUUAUAAAUUUUGCCCCCUUGAGUUUACCUAUAAAUAAAAAAAAAAGAAAAAAGUGAUGGUGUCCUUGUACUCCAUCCCCCCACC
rnacentral:lncRNA from 1 species